UAAAAACUCCAGCUUAAAAUUGAGCUUUGUUUAGACAUUGCCAUCGGUGUUCUUCUAGAAUUUUUCACUCACUCAAAGAUGGAUUAUUCACCCAGUAAUGAAAGAUGGGCAUGAAGGGAGGUCGGGAUGUUGGUGUGGAAACCACCAGGAGAUGUGAUGCUUGUGUCCCUCAGCCUCAGUGCUCACAAAACGACUGCUCUCAAAUGUUAUGCUUUUUCUACCCUAGAGGCAGAAGUUUUCCUGCUUACAGAGUGUAUUCAAAAAAAAGGGAAUGGAAUUGGAAUGCUAAGCAAUGCAUUAUUGGUGACACGGUGAGCAAAUAGGUUAUCAAUUUCUAAUGCACUCUCAGCAGCGCUGUACAAAAGCUGUGCAAAUUUGCUUUCUGUGUCGGCCAAAGGCAUCGUUGUACCAUGUGGGUGCAAUGAUUGGAGAGAACAGUUUGUAGUAGUUCACUAAACGAAGUUUAAGCCACUAUAUCUAAAUUAGGCGUUUGCCUUUGACAUCUUAUUAUUUCAUAAUUGUAACUACGAGGCUUUUCAGAGUGGGUAAUUGCUUUUUUUCCCCAAAGCUGCAUUAGUCUUCAAGGGCAAGUGAUGGUGAAAUAGAAGCCUGAGUGCCUGAAGUUGUAAAAUAAAGAGAAUCAAGCAUGAGCUAAGAGUAUAAUUCACAUAGAAACUCCCCUUCAGCUGCCGGGUCCCUCAUCUCAGAGCUGGUGGAAAAUGCUGCAGAGGAAUGGGUAGAACCCUGAAGAAAACUCAGGACAGUUUCAUGGUGUUGGGGAUCUAGGGGCAUUCAGCAUCAGCUGUGCAUCCAGGAGAUUGCUGACUUCUUCCCAAGGAGCUGAAAUCUCAUUCUUCUCUGUUUUAACGAAGCUUGCUGAUGCCCUUUUCUCUCAUUUGGUAAUCGGCUGAAGUUCCUGGGAAAGGAACAGGAAAUGAGUGGAAGGAUCAGAGGCAGCAGAAAGGUGUGAGCUGGGCGACUCGCUGCUGAAAUAGGUGAAGGAGAAGGGUGAACCAGCCCUUCUGCAUUUCCCCUGCAGAAAGCAUUAAAGUGCAUACCUAAAAGAGGUUUCUCAAAGUUCAAGAGGUGAGGAGAAGCACUGGAAUGGAAACCUCAUAGUGAUGGACCCUCACUGUGACAUUUUGAUGCGCUCUGGAGAGAAAUACGGGCAUUUUGCUUCUCCCACCUUUGAGCUGAAGUAGUACACCAGCUGAAGUCCUUCACUCUUCUGUAUUUGAAAGGGUUUCAUUUUUGAUAAAGGUUCAGUGUUACAAAGAUACCAAAUCUUCAUGUGCCCUGUGCUUCAGCAAAGUACCGAUAACAGCAAUAAACCCCCUAACGUGAGAUGUUCUGGGGUUAUCUCUGAAGAAGGCUCCUCUUCAUUCGGCUGCCAAUUGCAAAUGAACCUAGUUAUAAAAUUUCUCUUUAUUGCCACCUUUCCAUAUCCCUGAGGUUAAUUCUGAAAUAUGCAUGAAAUGUAAUUAGUGCAGAUCCAUUUCUGCCAGCACGUUUUACACAAGUGGCUCCCGGUGGCAGAUCUGGAUGUAUUCAUAAUAAAAUGAUUCAGUUAAA
ensembl:lncRNA